rnacentral:rRNA from 1 species
GAUGAACGCUAGCUACAGGCUUAACACAUGCAAGUCGAGGGGAAACGGCAUUAAGUGCUUGCACUUUUUGGACGUCGACCGGCGCACGGGUGAGUAACGCGUAUCCAACCUUCCCAUGACUAAGGGAUAACCUGCCGAAAGGCAGACUAAUACCUUAUGGUCUUCACUGACGGCAUCAGAUGUGAAGUAAAGAUUUAUCGGUUAUGGAUGGGGAUGCGUCUGAUUAGCUUGUUGGCGGGGUAACGGCCCACCAAGGCAACGAUCAGUAGGGGUUCUGAGAGGAAGGUCCCCCACAUUGGAACUGAGACACGGUCCAAACUCCUACGGGAGGCAGCAGUGAGGAAUAUUGGUCAAUGGGCGAGAGCCUGAACCAGCCAAGUAGCGUGCAGGAUGACGGCCCUAUGGGUUGUAAACUGCUUUUGUAUGGGGAUAAAGUCAAUCGCGUGUGAUUGUUUGCAGGUACCAUACGAAUAAGGACCGGCUAAUUCCGUG